rnacentral:rRNA from 1 species
UACGGGGGGGGCUAGCGUUGUUCGGAAUUACUGGGCGUAAAGGGCGCGUAGGCGGUCUGCUAAGUUGGAUGUGAAAACUCUGGGCUUAACCCAGAGCCUGCAUUCAAUACUGACAGGCUAGAGUUCUGGAGGGGAUAGCGGAAUUCCUGGUGUAGCGGUGAAAUGCGUAGAUAUCUGGAGGAACACCGGUGGCGAAGGCGGCAUCCUGGACCAACACUGACGCUGAUGAGCGAAAGCCAGGGGAGCAAACGGG